ACAGAAGGGAGCUUGCUCCCGGAUGUUAGCGGCGGACGGGUGAGGAACACGUGGGUAACCUGCCUGUAAGACUGGGAUAACUCCGGGAAACCGGAGCUAAUACCGGAUAGUUCCUUGAACCGCAUGGUUCAAGGAUGAAAGACGGUUUCGGCUUCACUUACAGAUGGACCCGCGGCGCAUUAGCUAGUUGGUGGGGUAAUGGCUCACCAAGGCGACGAUGCGUAGCCGACCUGAGAGGGUGAUCGGCCACACUGGGACUGAGACACGGCCCAGACUCCUACGGGAGGCAGCAGUAGGGAAUCUUCCGCAAUGGACGAAAGUCUGACGGAGCAACGCCGCGUGAGUGAUGAAGGUUUUCGGAUCGUAAAGCUCUGUUGUUAGGGAAGAACAAGUCCGAGAGUAACUGCUCGCACCUUGACGGUACCUAACCAGAAAGCCACGGCUAACUACGUGCCAGCAGCCGCGGUAAUACGUAGGUGGCAAGCGUUGUCCGGAAUUAUUGGGCGUAAAGGGCUCGCAGGCGGUUUCUUAAGUCUGAUGUGAAAGCCCCCGGCUCAACCGGGGAGGGUCAUUGGAAACUGGGAAACUUGAGUGCAGAAGAGGAGAGUGGAAUUCCACGUGUAGCGGUGAAAUGCGUAGAGAUGUGGGAGGACACCAGUGGCGAAGGCGACUCUCUGGUCUGUAACUGACGCUGAGGAGCGAAAGCGUGGGGGAGGCGAACAGGAUUAGAAUACCCUGGUAGUCCACGGCGUAAACGAUGAGUGCUAAGUGGUUAGGGUUUCGGCCCUUUAGUGGCUGGCAGCUUACGCAUUAAGCACUUCGCUGGGAGUACGGUCGCAAGACUUGAACUCAAAGGAUUUGACCGGGGGC
rnacentral:rRNA from 1 species